rnacentral:rRNA from 1 species
GACGAACGCUGGCGGCGUGCCUAAUACAUGCAAGUUGAGCGCUGAAGGUUGGUACUUGUACCGACUGGAUGAGCAGCGAACGGGUGAGUAACGCGUGGGGAAUCUGCCUUUGAGCGGGGGACAACAUUUGGAAACGAAUGCUAAUACCGCAUAAAAACUUUAAACACAAGUUUUAAGUUUGAAAGAUGCAAUUGCAUCACUCAAAGAUGAUCCCGCGUUGUAUUAGCUAGUUGGUGAGGUAAAGGCUCACCAAGGCGAUGAUACAUAGCCGACCUGAGAGGGUGAUCGGCCCCCUUGGGACUGAGACACGGCCCAAACUCCUACGGGAGGCAGCAGUAGGGAAUCUUCGGCAAUGGACGAAAGUCUGACCGAGCAACGCCGCGUGAGUGAAGAAGGUUUUCGGAUCGUAAAACUCUGUUGGUAGAGAAGAACGUUGGUGAGAGUGGAAAGCUCAUCAAGUGACGGUAACUACCCAGAAAGGGACGGCUAACUACGUG